AACUGAGCAAAUGGAGGCAGUGAGACUCAGGCACCUCAGUAGUGCAGCUUUCCACUCUAGCAAAGCUGAUUUUAUUAGCUUGCUUCUUUCAAAUUGGAAACAGUCCAGUUUGUAAAUCCACCCUUGUAUUCUACUAAUCCACCUUAGAUCUGACUGCUUACUGGUCAUCUUCUAAAUGAGAAAUGCUCUAAUGGUUUUUAUGUGCAAACACAAUACUGUAGGUACCUAACCAUCAAUAACUGUAAAAAUGACAUAGUAAUCUGAAUGGUUGUGGUAAAGGUGAACCUUUUCUAGAAUCCAUUUUAUAAAUCUAGAAAAGGGUUGUCAUUUGUGACUAGAAACUAUGUGAUCAUUGUCAAAAUGCCUGAAAAGUUUCUCAAGAUUAUAUAGCAAAUGAGAAGCUGACCUGGAAUUUGCACCUGUCUGUUCUCAGUGUUUUGGAAAAAAUGUCGAUAUCAGAAUUACUUUGAAGACCUCACGGUUUUUGCUGUCAUAUUUCUGCGCAGGAGUAAAAGAAAAGGAAGAAUAUAUCAGUCCAAAUUCUUUCAUUUUCUAAGUAGCAAUGAAAGCAAUUUAUUGGCUUAAGCUAGAAGUCUGGGAAGGAGAACAGGCAUGGCUGGACUCAGAGACUCAAUUUCUCCCUCUUCCGUUCUUGCUCUUUGUUUGUGUUGGUUUCUCAGGUGAGUCGGAUGAGCUCCCGCCUUGGAGGAGCCGCAGAGCCUAAGGGAGCCUGAUUUCUCAGGCAGGCUCCUGCCAGACCCUGGAAAAGCAUCCUUCUGACCAAGAAGGGGGAAUGCAGCUCCUCCAGAAUGCCGGCUGACCCCCGAGAUUCCUGCCAGCACCUACCAACAAGGCCCCUUCCUGCUUCACGGGACCUCUAGAAACGCCCCAAGUAAUGCAAGCUGUGUGUGUUCACCACCUGCGCUUGAUUAACUGGCCGCAGGGCAGGCCCUGAGUACAGGAACCCGAACUCGGCCUCACGCGGAGUCUCUGCCCGACACUCCAGCCACCAUUCAACACACCCCUCACCGCACCACCCAGGGACUGCCUCUCGCUCCCUUGCCUUACAUUUCCUGCCGAGGAUAAAAGCAGUGUUCAGUGCCAUAAGUGAUUCAACUGGAGCCAUGCAGGUGAAACCAGGCAGUGAUCUCAAGGUAAUGUGACCUGCCACACUUCCAGCCGCUGUGGCAGAGGCCAACGUGGUGUGAUUCCCCAUCAGUGGAGGUCGGGAUCACUUUAGGAUUCGCUAAAGUUCUCGGAUGCUCCAAGCUGCAAAAGUUGCUCUUUCUCUGAACCAGGAAUCCAAAGGUCACGACUGCUGCAUCUGCUUCUUGCCUCUUCCAUUCCAUAAACCAUGAGGUUUUGCACAUCUUUGGGAAAUCCAAAUUACAACUUUUCUCUGGCAUAGGAAAAGGCGAGGACGGUUUGAAUUCUUUGGCAUUUCCCUGAAGUGGACUGUAGAUCUGAUCUAGUGACUUAGUUCCACAUGUAUAAUUAAUGGGGAGUGUGUUCACAGCUCUUACUAAGCUGCUUGAUUGACAUUGUGAAGCCAGCAGAUGCAGGGCUGGUCUGUCAGCCAAUCAGAAUUUCUGAGGACAGAUAACACAAGGUCACGAAUGAAGAUUGUAUCUUGACAGGCCUUGAAGGGAAGUGAAAAUAACCAGGUUUUGAUUUGCACCCAUGGUCACUGCAAACUCCAAAGAUGUCAUUUUCAGAUAUUUCCUUGUUUUCCUUAAGAGUCAUAAUACGUCAGGCUCAGCUAGAUGAAGAACUAAAUUAAAGGUGUCAUUUCAGCUCAUAAAUAACAGAUGUCUAAUGCAUUUAAUUAUUUAUAGUCUUGAAUCUUUCAAAAAUGAAAAUGACUCUACACAUUUUUAAUGCAGUUCUUGGUAAUUUGCCGCCUGACUGAUAAGAUUUGCCAACAAUCCUGGAUUGCAAACAUGAAAAAUAAAACUGAGACAGACUCGUUAUUUCGCAAGAUUGCUUCUUUGCUCCCUUGUGGCUUUAACAAAAUUUAAAUUAAAGUGAAAUCUAAUCACAACAAAAUGAUGUUCAUAUACUGAUAUUAAUAAUUGAGUUUUCUGAGAUCGUGUGGUGGGUGCCUGGCUGCCAGAGACUUUUGCACUGCCUGAAAAAUCAAUGCUUUAUCCUUCUCUGAACUCUAUCCUGAUUGCCCUAAUCAUAGCUUAAUAAAGAACGCUUACACCUGGCCCCUGAGCAUGCCUCCCAGAUCAUAUCUGCAGAUUUGGCAAGGACUUAAGUAUGGUUAAGAAAGGCCAAUGUGACAUCAGUGACACCAGGAAGUGCCCUUCAUUCCUAGAGUAUUAAUCUCUUCAUUGGGUGAAAAAUAGGUUUUCAUCAGACUCCAAAAUGGCUUAAAUUCACACUGAGCUUAAACGGCCUAUGUUAGAUCCUGAUAAUAAUUUUUAAUAAGAUAAAAGAAGAAAUACUUAAGAUGCCUCCAUUAUUUGAGGAAUCACUUUCUUGGUGAGCAAAGAAAAACUUGCUUUUGGUCUAGUGGUAUAACAAAAAGUGAAUUAAUUUGGGGAUAAUAAUAAAAAAAAUGUCAGUUUGAAUUUUAGUUCUAACAAUUAUAAGCUAGUGUCCUUGAGUAAAUUACUUAAAAUCUUUAGGGCUCAGAUUCUUUAUUUCUAAAAUCAACAUAA